rnacentral:rRNA from 1 species
AGGUAGUGUAACAGAGGGUUUGAUCAUGGCUCAGAUUGAACGCUAUGGAUGCUUUACACAUGCAAGUCGAACGGCAGCACGGACUUUUUGGUCUGGUGGCGAGUGGCGAACGGGUGAGUAACGUAUCGGAACGUGCCUAGUAGCGGGGGAUAAUUCACGCUGGUGCUGAAUAAUAACGGCAUACGCCCUUCGUGGAGCUGGGACCUUCGGCCCGCACUAUUAGAGCGGCCGAGGUCGGGAUUAGGCUAGUUGGUGGGCAAGAACGGCUCGCCACCAAGGCGCGACGAUCCGUAGCUGGUUUGAGAGGACGACCAGCCACACUGGGACCGAGACACGGCCCAGACUCCUACGGAGGCAGCAGUGGGGAAUUUUGACGAAUGGGGAAACUCCGAUCCAAACAUCCCGCGUGUGCGAUGAAGGCCUUCAAGCAAAGCACUUUUGGCAGUGAAAGAAACGGCACGGGAUAAUACCCCGUGCAACUGACGGUACCUGCAACAAGGCCCGGCUAACUACGUGCCAGCAGCCGCGGUAAUACGUAGGGUGCAAGCGUUAAUCGGAAUUACCGCCAUGCAAGCGUGCGCAGGCGGCUCGAAACAUGAUGUGAAAUCCCAGAGCUUAACUUGAACUGGGUGGUCUCAAUCACCGAGCCAGAGUGCGUCAGGGAGGGAGGUGGAAUUCGCGUGUAGCAGUGAAAUGUGUAGAUAUGCGAGGAACACCGAUGGCGAAGGCAGCCUCCUGGGAUAACACUGACGCCCAUGCACGAAAGCGGGGAGCAAACAGGAUUAGAUACCCUGGUAGUCCACGCCCCAAACGAUGUCAACUAGCUGUUGGGGCCUUCGGGCCUUGGUAGCGCAGCUAACGCGUGAAGUUAACGCCUGGGAGUACGGUCGCAAGAUUAAAAACUCAAAGGAAUUGAUGGGGACCCGCACAAGCGGUGGAUGAUGUGGAUUAAUCUUUGAUGCAGUCCAUGAAAACCUUACUCACCCUUGACAUGUCUGGAAUCCCGAAGAGAUUUGGGGAGUGCUCGCAAGAGUUAACCGGAACACAGGUGCUGCAUGGCUGUCGUCAGCUCGUGUCGUGAGAUGUUGGGUUAAGUCCCGCAACGAGCGCAACCCUUGUCAUUAGUUGCUACGAAAGGGCACUCUAAUGAGACUGCCGUAGACAAACGAGGAAGGUGAUGACGUCAAGUCUCAUGGCCCUUAUGGGUAGGGCUUCACACGUCAUACAAUGGUCGGGACAGAGGGUCGCCAACCCGCGAGGGAGCCAAUCCUGUGAAACCCGAUCGUGGUCUCGAUCGCAGUCUGCAACUCGACUGCGUGAAGUCGGAAUCGCUAGCAAUCGCGGAUCAGCAUGUCGCGGUGAAUACGUUCCUGGGUCUUGUACACACCGCCUGCUCACCCAUGGGAGUGGGUUUACCAGAAGUAGCUGUACCCAACCGCAAGCGAGAGGGCGAUUACCACGGUAGGAUUCAUGACUGGGGUGAAGUCGUACCAAGGUA